AACGCUGGCGGCGUGCCUAAUACAUGCAAGUCGAGCGAAUCUGAGGGAGCUUGCUCCCAAAGAUUAGCGGCGGACGGGUGAGUAACACGUGGGUAACCUGCCUGUAAGAUUGGGAUAACUCCGGGAAACCGGAGCUAAUACCGGAUAACAUCUCGAACCGCAUGGUUCGAGAUUGAAAGAUGGUUUCGGCUAUCACUUACAGAUGGACCCGCGGCGCAUUAGCUAGUUGGUGAGGUAACGGCUCACCAAGGCAACGAUGCGUAGCCGACCUGAGAGGGUGAUCGGCCACACUGGGACUGAGACACGGCCCAGACUCCUACGGGAGGCAGCAGUAGGGAAUCUUCCGCAAUGGACGAAAGUCUGACGGAGCAACGCCGCGUGAGCGAAGAAGGCCUUCGGGUCGUAAAGCUCUGUUGUUAGGGAAGAAUAAGUACGAGAGUAACUGCUCGUACCUUGACGGUACCUAACCAGAAAGCCACGGCUAACUACGUGCCAGCAGCCGCGGUAAUACGUAGGUGGCAAGCGUUGUCCGGAAUUAUUGGGCGUAAAGCGCGCGCAGGCGGUUUCUUAAGUCUGAUGUGAAAGCCCACGGCUCAACCGUGGAGGGUCAUUGGAAACUGGGGAACUUGAGUGCAGAAGAGGAGAGUGGAAUUCCACGUGUAGCGGUGAAAUGCGUAGAGAUGUGGAGGAACACCAGUGGCGAAGGCGACUCUCUGGUCUGUAACUGACGCUGAGGCGCGAAAGCGUGGGGAGCGAACAGGAUUAGAUACCCUGGUAGUCCACGCCGUAAACGAUGAGUGCUAAGUGUUAGAGGGUUUCCGCCCUUUAGUGCUGCAGCAAACGCAUUAAGCACUCCGCCUGGGGAGUACGGUCGCAAGACUGAAACUCAAAGGAAUUGACGGGGGCCCGCACAAG
rnacentral:rRNA from 1 species